rnacentral:rRNA from 1 species
CUACGGGGGGCAGCAGUGGGGAAUAUUGCACAAUGGAGGAAACUCUGAUGCAGCAACGCCGCGUGGAGGAUGACACUUUUCGGAGCGUAAACUCCUUUUAUAUGGGAAGAAGAUGACGGUACUAUAUGAAUAAGCGCCGGCUAACUCCGUGCCAGCAGCCGCGGUAAUACGGAGGGCGCAAGCGUUACUCGGAAUCACUGGGCGUAAAGAGCGUGUAGGCGGAUUAAAAAGUCAGAAGUGAAAUCCUAUAGCUUAACUAUAGAACUGCUUCUGAAACUCUUAAUCUAGAAUGUGGGAGAGGUAGAUGGAAUUUCUGGUGUAGGGGUAAAAUCCGUAGAGAUCAGAAGGAAUACCGAUUGCGAAGGCGAUCUACUAGAACAUUAUUGACGCUGAGACGCGAAAGCGUGGGGAGCAAACAGGAUUAGAUACCCCCGUAGUC